AAAACUUUCAACAACGGAUCUCUUGGUUCUGGCAUCGAUGAAGAACGUAGCGAAAUGCGAUAAGUAAUGUGAAUUGCAGAAUUCAGUGAAUCAUCGAAUCUUUGAACGCACAUUGCGCCCGCCAGUAUUCUGGCGGGCAUGCCUGUCCGAGCGUCAUUUCACCCCUCAGGCCCAGCCUGGCGUUGGGG
rnacentral:rRNA from 2 species